rnacentral:rRNA from 1 species
GACGAACGCUGGCGGCGUGCUUAACACAUGCAAGUCGAACGGAAAGGCCCUGCUUUUGUGGGGUGCUCGAGUGGCGAACGGGUGAGUAACACGUGAGUAACCUGCCCUUGACUUUGGGAUAACUUCAGGAAACUGGGGCUAAUACCGGAUAGGAGCUCCUGCUGCAUGGUGGGGGUUGGAAAGUUUCGGCGGUUGGGGAUGGACUCGCGGCUUAUCAGCUUGUUGGUGGGGUAGUGGCUUACCAAGGCUUUGACGGGUAGCCGGCCUGAGAGGGUGACCGGCCACAUUGGGACUGAGAUACGGACCAGACGCCUACGGGAGGCAGCAGGGGGGAAUAUUGCACAAUGGGCGGAAGCCUGAUGCAGCAGCGCCGCGUUCGGGAUGACGGCCUUCGGGUUGUAAACCGCUUUCGCCGGUGACGAAGCGGGAGUGACGGUAAUUGGUAAAGAAGCACCGGCUAACUACGUG